rnacentral:lncRNA from 10 species
AGACAAAGAAAGUGAAAUUGGAGAAGUUAAGUAUUUACCAAAGGCUAUCUAGCUAGGGAGUGAUGGAGCCCAGAUCCGAAUCCAGAUGAGGUUUCAUGUGCUGCCCAGGAUGAGCCACUGUGCCCGGCCAAAUGAGCUAUUUAUGAUGAUCAUAAGGACACAAGAUAAGGAAAUCCAAUCAGUUGCUACGUGCUGAUGAUUCUGAUUCUGGCCCUGCAGUAUCGCUUGCAUGCACCUCCUCCUCCCUGUGCUCACUGCUGGAGAAAAGAGAACCUUGGCUGAUGAUUUAUGGAUCUACAAGUAAUCGAAGCUUAACUGCCACAAAAAUAACUUUAUCCAGUCCUCCCCCCCUCCCCUGCACCUUCUCUAGUUAGCGCUGUAAGAACUUGGUUGCUCAGGUGGAAGGCAUAUAGAUUGUAUUGUAUUUGAAUAGCUCCCCAGGUAGCACAGUAAUGUCUCUGCACUUGAUUAAAUAAGUCAGGUCAAUUUUUCUGCAAGUUUUCCUCCAUUGCAGCACUAACAUCCACAUUUAAUUUGUUGCUUUAUUUAACACCAUCAUCUGCUUUCAGGGCAAAAUAA